GAGGAAUGGCAGAGUGGUCGAAUGCGGCGGUCUUGAAAACCGUUGACUCAAAAGGUCCGUGGGUUCGAAUCCUACUUCCUCC
rnacentral:tRNA from 1 species